rnacentral:rRNA from 1 species
UUAGAGUUUGUUUCUGGCUCAGGAUGAACGCUCGCGGCAGGCUUACCACAUGCAAGUCGAGGGGCAGCGAGAUCAGUGCUUGCACUGAUUGUCGGCGACCGGCGCACGGGUGCGUAACGCGUAUGCAACCUACCCAUUACAGGGGGAUAACACUGAGAAAUCGGUACUAAUACCCCAUAACAUCCAGGGAGGCAUCUUCUUGGGUUGAAAACUCCGGUGGUAAUGGAUGGGCAUGCGUUGUAUUAGUUAGUUGGUGGGGUAACGGCUCACCAAGACAACGAUACAUAGGGGGACUGAGAGGUUAACCCCCCACAUUGGUACUGAGACACGGACCAAACUCCUACGGGAGGCAGCAGUGAGGGAUAUUGGUCAAUGGACGCAAGUCUGAACCAGCCAUGCCGCGUGCAGGAAGACGGCUCUAUGAGUUGUAAACUGCUUUUGUACGAGGGUAAACGCAGAUACGCGUAUCUGUCUGAAAGUAUCGUACGAAUAAGGAUCGGCUAACUCCGUGCCAGCAGCCGCGGUAAUACGGAGGAUUCAAGCGUUAUCCGGAUUUAUUGGGUUUAAAGGGUGCGUAGGCGGUCGGAUAAGUUAGAGGUGAAAUCCCGGGGCUCAACUUCGGAAUUGCCUCUGAUACUGUUCGGCUAGAGAGUAGUUGCGGUAGGCGGAAUGUAUGGUGUAGCGGUGAAAUGCUUAGAGAUCAUACAGAACACCGAUUGCGAAGGCAGCUUACCAAGCUACUUCUGACGUUGAGGCACGAAAGCGUGGGGAGCAAACAGGAUUAGAUACCCUGGUAGUCCACGCAGUAAACGAUGAUAACUCGUUGUCGGCGAUACAGUGUCGGUGACUAAGCGAAAGCGAUAAGUUAUCCACCUGGGGAGUACGUUCGCAAGAAUGAAACUCAAAGGAAUUGACGGGGGCCCGCACAAGCGGAGGAACAUGUGGUUUAAUUCGAUGAUACGCGAGGAACCUUACCCGGGCUUGAAAGUUAGUGACGGAUCUUGAAAGAGGUCUUCCCUUCGGGGCACGAAACUAGGUGCUGCAUGGUUGUCGUCAGCUCGUGCCGUGAGGUGUCGGGUUAAGUCCCAUAACGAGCGCAACCCCUACCGUUAGUUGCCAGCAGGUCAAGCUGGGCACUCUGACGGGACUGCCGGUGUAAGCCGAGAGGAAGGUGGGGAUGACGUCAAAUCAGCACGGCCCUUACGUCCGGGGCUACACACGUGUUACAAUGGCAGGUACAGAGGGCAGCUACCCAGCGAUGGGAUGCGAAUCUCGAAAGCCUGUCUCAGUUCGGAUUGGAGGCUGAAACCCGCCUCCAUGAAGUUGGAUUCGCUAGUAAUCGCGCAUCAGCCAUGGCGCGGUGAAUACGUUCCCGGGCCUUGCACACACCGCCCGUCA